CCGGGAUGUGGAGAGACAUCCUGGGCUUUCAUUACUCUUAUUUUAGCAAAGAGGGAAACUGAGGCACAGAGAAGGGAAGGGACUUGCCCAUGCCCACAGCGAGUUUUUGGCUAGUCUGGGUCUUGAUGUUCUUUAUUAUUAUUAUUACUAUCCUCCUCAUGAUCAUCGUUGUAUGUAUACAGUUAUGGGGUACAAGUGCAAUUUUGUUACAUGCAUAGAUGGCACAGUAGUGAAGUCAGAGCUUUCAGAGUAUCCACCACUCCAAUAACAUACAUUGUAUCCAUUUAGUCCAUGUGUUCUCAUCAUUUAGCUCCCACUUAUAAGUGAGAAGAGGCAGUAUUUGGUUUUCUGUUCCUGCAUUAGUUUGGUAAGGAUAAUGACCUCCAGCUCCAACCAUGUUCCUGCAACGGACAUGAUCUCAUUCUUUUUUAUAGCUGCAUAGUAUUCCAUGGUGUAUAUGUUCCUCAUUUUCUUUAUCCAGUCUAUCCUUGAUGGGCAUUUAAGUAGAUUCCAUGUCUUUGCUAUUGUGAAUAGUGCUUCAGUGAACAGGUGUCUUUAUGAUAGAAAAAUUUAUAUGCCUUUGGGCAUAUAUGCAGUGAUGAGAUUGCUGGGUCAGACGGUAGUUCUGUUUUUAGCUCUUUGAGGAAUCAUCCUGCUGCUUUCUACAGUGGAUGAACUAAUUUACACUCCCACCAACAGUGUAUAAACACUCCUUUUUAUCUGCAACCUCAGCAGCAUGGUUUUAUUUCUCUUUAUGGCUGAAUAGUGUUCCAUUGUGCAUAUAUACCACACUUUCUUUAUGGAUUCAUCUGCUGAUGGACAUAUAGGUUGAUUCCACAUCUCUGCUAUUGUGAAUAGUGCUGUGAUAAACACACAGGUGCGGGUUGGGUCUUGAUGAUCUCAGUUAACAUCCAGUCCCUUCAACUUGGCUAUUGCAGGGAGCUGUUCCCCCUUGUAAACUGCACAGCUUAUGUGCUUCAUUUUGUUCCUUCAUUUAGAUUUACCAAGCAGCUACUAUUAACCAGGCCACAAUGUGCCUCGCCCCAGGAACAGAGAUAGGUUACAUGUGCAUCCUGUCCUAAUGUAAUCU
rnacentral:lncRNA from 1 species